rnacentral:rRNA from 1 species
ACGGCCAUACCAUGCUGAAUAUACCGGUUCUCGUUCGAUCACCGAAGUCAAACAUCAUUGGGCGCGGUCAGAUUGGGUGACCACCUGGGAACACCGCGUGCCGUU